UCUGCACUGAAGGACACCCAAAAGGCACUGUGUGAGGGUAGUAGCCCCUAUCCUGGCUCCAGCCCAAUAGGGGCUGCCUUCCCCCAGCCUCUUUUCCCAGGGAAGACCCCCCCCCCCAAGAUCUGCCACCACAACAUGCGGAAAUAUAAGUCCAACCGACCCUUCCC